GUUGUAUUCUUUAAUAUGCAUAUCAUUGUUUCAAUUUUUUUAUAGACUACGUUGAACUUGUCUGCAAGAGAAGAGAAUAUCAAUCAGUAUCUGUGCAGAUGGUGAAUCUCAUUUUCAGGAAAUAUCUGGAAAAUGCUUGGCUGGCCUUAAAAUAGAUGAGAAUUAGAGAUGAGUGUACUGAGCUUGGCUACUAGACACUGUGACCCUGUAAGACAAGGACUUUUCCCAGUCGUGGUCAAAAAGAGCAAGUAUUCUUACUUUGGACCCUGUGAGUUGGAUUCUGUAGG
rnacentral:lncRNA from 1 species